UGGGGAAUAUUGCACAAUGGGCGCAAGCCUGAUGCAGCAACGCCGCGUGAGGGACGACGGCCUUCGGGUUGUAAACCUCUUUUGGCAGGGAAGAAGCGAAAGUGACGGUACCUGCAGAAAAAGCACCGGCUAACUACGUGCCAGCAGCCGCGGUGAUACGUAGGGUGCAAGCGUUGUCCGGAAUUAUUGGGCGUAAAGAGCUCGUAGGCGGUUUGUCGCGUCUGCUGUGAAAACCCGAGGCUCAACCUCGGGCCUGCAGUCGGUACGGGCAAACUAGAGUGCGGUAGGGGAGAUUGGAAUUCCUGGUGUAGCGGUGGAAUGCGCAGAUAUCAGGAGGAACACCGAUGGCGAAGGCAGAUCUCUGGGCCGUAACUGACGCUGAGGAGCGAAAGCAUGGGGAGCGAACA
rnacentral:rRNA from 1 species